AACGAACGCUGGCGGCAGGCUUAACACAUGCAAGUCGAACGCCCCGCAAGGGGAGUGGCAGACGGGUGAGUAACGCGUGGGAAUCUACCUAGUUCUACGGAACAACAGUUGGAAACGACUGCUAAUACCGUAUACGCCCUACGGGGGAAAGAUUUAUCGGAAUUAGAUGAGCCCGCGUAAGAUUAGCUAGUUGGUGGGGUAAUGGCCUACCAAGGCGACGAUCUUUAGCUGGUCUGAGAGGAUGAUCAGCCACACUGGGACUGAGACACGGCCCAGACUCCUACGGGAGGCAGCAGUGGGGAAUAUUGGACAAUGGGCGAAAGCCUGAUCCAGCCAUGCCGCGUGAGUGAUGAAGGCCUUAGGGUUGUAAAGCUCUUUCAGUGGGGAAGAUAAUGACGGUACCCACAGAAGAAGCCCCGGCUAACUUCGCGCCAGCCGCCGCCGUAAGAC
rnacentral:rRNA from 1 species